ACGAAGGGGGCUAGCGUUGCUCGGAAUUACUGGGCGUAAAGCGCACGUAGGCGGCUCUUUAAGUCGGGGGUGAAAUCCUGGAGCUCAACUCCAGAACUGCCUUCGAUACUGAAGAGCUUGAGUCCGGGAGAGGUGAGUGGAACUGCGAGUGUAGAGGUGGAAUUCGUAGAUAUUCGGAGGAACACCAGUGGCGAAGGCGGCUCACUGGCUCGGUACUGACGCUGAGGUGCGAAAGCGUGGGGAGCAAACAGGA
rnacentral:rRNA from 1 species